rnacentral:rRNA from 1 species
AAUGGGCGAAAGCCUGACGCAGCAACGCCGCGUGCGGGAAGAAGGCUCUCGGGUUGUAAACCGCUUUCAGAAGGAACGAAACUGACGGUACUUUCAGAAGAAGGUGCGGCCAACUACGUGCCAGCAGCCGCGGUGACACGUAGGCACCAAGCGUUGUCCGGAUUUAUUGGGCGUAAAGAGCUCGUAGGCGGUUCAGUAAGUCGGGUGUGAAAACUUUGGGCUUAACCCAAAGCCUGCAUCCGAUACUGCUGUGACUUGAGUACGGUAGGGGAGCGGGGAAUUUCUAGUGUAGCGGUGAAAUGCGCAGAUAUUAGAAGGAACACCGGUGGCGAAGGCGCCGCUCUGGGCCGUAACUGACGCUGAGGAGCGAAAGCGUGGGUAGCAAA